AAGUCGUAACAAGGUUUCCGUAGGUGAACCUGCGGAAGGAUCAUUAUCGAGUUUUGACUGGGUUGUAGCUGGCCUCCCGAGGCAUGUGCACGCCCUGCUCAUCCACUCUACACCUGUGCACUUACUGUGGGCUUCAGACGUCGUGAAGCGGGCUCUUUACGGAGCUUGUAGAGCGUGUCUGUGCCUGCGUUUACCACAAACUCUAUAAAGUAUUAGAAUGUGUAUUGCGAUGUAACGCAUCUAUAUACAACUUUCAGCAACGGAUCUCUUGGCUCUC
rnacentral:misc_RNA from 1 species